rnacentral:sRNA from 1 species
UUUUUCACUGAGAGUAUUUUAACUUCCCAGCCCAGCCAGUCGCCCUUAAGGUGCUGGCUGGGGCUACGCGAAUAUCCGAUAGAAAUUUUGGUUUUACGAUUGAUGUGGGAAAUACCG